rnacentral:misc_RNA from 1 species
AGGCAAGUCUGGAAGGCGUAAGAGUGGUGCUGUGGAUUUUGAUGCUUUGAGGCAACAUGGCUAUAAAGGUGGACUGUCUGUCCUGAGUAUGCCCCCACCAAAAGAUGACACACCACAAGACUGGUCUUGGUCUACUGGCAAAGAACAUCGAGAGGUCAAGGAGGUUGAAGAAUCUUAUGAAGAACGACAAAAAACCAGAGCUGCAAUAAUGGAUGGUGAGCAACUGA